UCGGAGAGCAGCCAAUGUGCUCAAAUAAUGCUUUGUGAGCUUGUGGUGCAGCUGUGCUGGAAGCUUUCAGAUAAGGGCAGAAGUGAGGAGCGUGGGGGCAGCCCUGCUGCUGUUGAAUUGCACAGAGAUUUAUGAGCCACACAGAGAGGUACGGAGAAGUUCUGCCUUCCCAAGAACUUGUGUGCAAACAACUGGAGCUUCCAUGUGGGGCUGUGCUGAGUGCUAAAGACACAGAGCUGGGAUCUGUUCUUCUCAGUGGAGCGCCUUCCUCUGCAGGCCAGGCAUAAUUCUUGUUUCUACUCCUCUAGUUUUAUUAAAUUCCUGUAAUCCCUUUCAUAUAAAACUAUUGUGGUUUUGUUGAACACACAGUUAGACUCAGAAUCAGAGAACUUCCAAGGUUGGGAAUGACCUCCAAGAUCAUCCAUGCUACAAAAUCUGUUCUCAGUUGCUUUAGAAGAGUUGUAGAGACGGUGCUAUUUUGUUAGAUGCUUGUUCUUGUCUUAGAUCUUCUUGGAUGCUUGGCAUCUAAUGAACCACGAAAUCCAGAUGUGAGGAUUGGAUUGUUCCCUUCUCUGGGAUGCCUGUCAAUAUGUCUGUGAAGCUAACUCUGUUGGCUUACUUUGGCAUUGUUACCUUUUAUCACUUAGGUUUGAUUCUCUGAAGUGCCUUUGUAGCUCUGAGGUGUAUACUGAAGUGUUUGUUAACCAUCUUGGCCCAUAGAUAACUUCCCAGUGUAAUAAACCUGGAGCUGGGAGGGUAUUCCUUUGCAGCUGGCUGCUUAAUCAUGUAAUUGAUAACAUCUCCCACCUUUAGGGACCUUUUACAAAUGACAAGGUGAUAAUCAGGACCAAAUCACUAAAACAAAAAUGCGCUGUCUCUCGAUUUGCCAUGGAGUAUACAUGACCUGAAAUCUUCCACACGUUUCCCAGUCAAAACCAGUAGAGGUGGUGACAGCCCCAUCCUACAUACAAAUAACCACCACCUCUGUGCAGCGGCUGGUGCUGGAAAGGUUCACAAAUUCACUGCUUCUCUAUUUCAGGCACAGCUAUCUUCCAGUGCUUGCUCUGACCUUCUUGGCUGCAGCUCCAGAGUCACACUGUGCUUUUACAUCAGUACAAGUGCCUCUGCUGUGGGGCAAAAUACCCCACCAUCUUAUGAGCUCAGCUGUGCGGGAGCACAGGCCUGUGCAGUCUGUGUGCUGCUCCUGCUGGAUGCUUGGUGAAGGGGCGAGAUGGAAGCUCCCAUUUCUCCUGGAACAGACCCAACAAAAGCCAGUUUAUAGGGUGCUAAUGAUGAAGGAGUUAUUCGUAAUCCAUAUGGAUAGGUGUCCCCGGGAUGCUGGUCAGCCUCCCAUAGAAGAAUUGCACUUCAGUGCAGGUUCAGAUAAGUAUCAUUGCAGUUACAAAGUAAAAGGACAGCUGUGUCCUGAAACGGGAGAGAUAAGGACAUCAGAAGAGACAAUACCAGGAAUGCUUGAAGGGGAAAUGAGAGCUGUCAUGACACCUUCACUUCGAUGCAUGCCUGUCUUUGUGCUCUCGCAAGUGAGAGUUUCACAGCGAGGGCUCUGCUCUUCCCCAGAGAAGGGAGAAGUGCAGGCUGGGGCACAGCAAGCCCCAAACCUCUGCCAGAUGCUGUUACUGCUCUGCAUGAUUGCCUUUUCUUCCCCUGCUUAUUUCUGCCCCAUGGAGCCAGCUUGUCUGUGGAACAAACUUUAAAGAAAGAGAUGAUUUAAUAACCGCUUUGUAUUCAUGCCUUUACUGAUGAGGGUUGAAAGUGCUCUGGCAUUCACACAAGUAUCUGUGCUAUGAAGCCCAUCCCUUUGUUUUACUUCUUUUUCUUCUGUCUUUCAUCGUAGGAAAUGUUUAUUCAGUUUGGAAAAUUGCCUUUUCUGAGAUCCCCUCACGAGGUAGCAGUGCCUGGUGAGGAUAAGGACGGCACAGUGCAGAGAGGAGAGCCCAGAGUGGCUGAGGAUGAAAUUUCCAGAGGAGACUUUGAGCUCCUGCUUUGCCAGAGCCCAGCUGAUGCACAAACAGGGAAGCCAGACUCUAACAGGAGUUUCGUAUAGGUAGCGUCAGAAGAUGAGAUACAGAAAAUGCCAUUUCCCACAGUAGAGACCAGCAACAACUUGUCUGUCAAACCUGGGGAGCUGUUAGGACUGAAAAACAGCAUGGCAAGCUGAACCUGGAUGGAACAUUGUGAAAUGAGCAGCUGGGCUGCCAAGGCAGGUGGCAAAAUGAUUUCUACUGGUGGCAGUGUCACACUGCAAGAGACUGACCAGAGCAAGCUUUGAGUUGGAUACGAGCCCCAUUUCUAGUUCUAUGGAACCAACAGCACUGCUGUGAGCGUCAAAAUGCUGAGUUUUGCUGCUGUGGGGGUGGGAAACAGGUACAGCACAAUGAGUAAUGCAGUAACUGAUCAGAAUUAGCACCUGGUUCUCGUCAAGGCCAAUUCAAUAUUGCGUUUUGAAAUGAAAAUUUCAGAGCACAAGGGGAAUAAAACCUAAAGUCAUCCUGCAUCUGUCAGUUUGGACUCAAUUGGCAGCAGCUGUUAAAGCCCAUAGAUGUUUUCAGAGAGAGACAGCAGGGUCUGAUUAAUGAGACAUGAUAUCCAUAAGCAGCUGUAAUCAGUGGUGGAAGUGUUUUGCCAUGUGGAAGAGCAAACAUUACAGUUCUGUUGAAAAAAUAUCAAUUAAAUUUGGUGCUCUGUUAGGAGAUGGCUUUAAAAAAGCUGGGCUGGACUUCACUCCAAACACUUCUGAUGGCAGUAAGUAGUGCAGGUGUGGAGCUGAGCAGGACGUUCCAACAGUUCCUAGUUGAUGCUGAUGUUGUUCUCAGGUGGGCAUAAAAAUGGAGCAGCUGUAGAGAAACGAUCUGGGCUUCUCUGGGCUUUGGUGCAAGCUGCAGAGCAGUGAGCUGCUUAAUGCUUAAUCAAAUUUUGUAAAACUUAAUGGCUCUAAGCAAUUAGAGGAGCAGAGUUUAAGCCCACUUAUGGCGCCCAUGGUUUUCUUCAGAGCUGCCAUGAGGUUCUUGAGGGAGAAGAUCUGCAAAUGUCAGCUCCCUGCUGGCCUGUGGGGGCCCACAGGCAGGAAACUCAUUGGUGACCUUAUGUAAUAUUUAAGAGAUUUCCUGGACCAAUUAAUUAUAAUACUUUAUAUAGUAACUAACAUAUCUCUCAUAUGUAUCAAAGUUUAAUUCAGUUUAAUUCGUUACUGCCACUCAAUGUAGGCCCAAUUCUCUCUUAUGAAGAUAUAACCAUAUUGGUUCAUUGGGUGCAACAGCAAGGAAAGGGUAGCUCCCUUUCUUCUGCUUUCCAAGCAGAAACACAAAGCUGGCUUGUCACCAGAGACCUCCAUGGUGGAUGAAGACUUUAUCUGAAGUGUGUGGAUCUCUUAUGAGGAGAGAACAGGAUGAGGUGUUCCAGGCCUUUUGGGAUGGGGCCCUGGGCAGUGUGAGCUGGGGGUGCAGCCAGCCCAUCGCAGGGGUCUGGAACUGUAUGAACUUUAAGGUCUGAGCCAUUCUAUGAUUCUAUUGCAUCAAAGCAUCCACUCUGCUGCCCAGGAGGACCAGAAGGAGAUGCCAGCAAGGUGCAAGUGAAGAUGCAGACAGAAUUGGCUCGGCUGGACUGAGGCUGCCUUCAACCCACUGUCUGAAAUGUCAACAUACAGUCCUGGGUGGUGACUGACAGCUUCAUCAGAAGGGCUCAGCCCACACACCCAUCUCUUGAGGAUGAUGAGCAGGCAGAAGUCACUGGAGAUGCUGCUGAUAUUGUUCCUAGCAGGUCUGCAAGAACUUUAAAUCUUUUCAAGGGCAAUCUGUGAAAGGCAUUGCACUGUGUAGUCCAGCAGCACUGUAGUCAGUUAUCAAAGCACUUUUCUUUCAAAGGAAGAUGCCCUUCAGGCUAGAGGAGAAUACAGCCAUCUGUCCUUUCAGCCCUCAUCAGCUCUGCUGGAUUCCUUGACCCACCCUCGUGAGUCAUGGUCAUCCUUGGCUCCUCUGCCCUCCCUUUCUGUCUUGAACAGGCCAGAAGAUGUCCAGAAGCUCCUCAUCUGCCUCCCUGUUUCCUCCCAGACUCUGAACUAUGCUUCAUGGUCUCUGAUUCCUCAUUUUUUCAGGCUUCCUUUUGAUGUCUGCUACAAAUCAGCAGAGACUAAUAGGAAAUAUGUCAGGCAUCGGAGUAUAAACGCAUGGUGAGGGGGGAUUAAAAGGGUUUCAGUGAUGGGAGGAAAGCAAAGCGUUUAGGAAGCAUCAGCUCUCUGUAGGAGAAGUAACAACAAUGCCCAGGAUGUUUUUACCUGUCCUCCCUCUUACAGGAAAAAAUACGCAUUCCUGGGCUGCUUUGGCUUCCAGACAAGCUGAUAAUUUGGAGUCAGACUGGUACAGAGAAAUAGUAGAGGACAAAGAAACUAGGGCUCCCCUGGGUCCUGAGAGGAGCUGUAACCUGAAGCAGUUCCAUUUACGGGGUUAGCUUGCAAUGAAUGGCAUUUCAGCAACAAGAGCUGCUCUACCAGCCAGCCUGGUGCAUGCCAAGGUUUCUGGCCUGUUUGCUACAUCCGUUCCUCUGCAACAACAGGGAGUUUGCUGCUGCAGUCCGUAACAGGAUCCUCAUUUUCCUUUGCAGUUAUGAUGCUCCUCUUCUUGUGAAACCAUUCAGCUCAGCCAUCUCAGAGAACUCCAGUGUGACAAAGCUGCUGCUGAACACAAUAGUCACUGAGAUGUCACUGAGUUCAGAACAUGCUGGAACAUGGGGAAAAAAGCAAAACUGAAAGACUGAACAUUUUCCUGUCCUCAAUAAGAAAUCAGCUCUGCAGUGCUGACCCCCCCCCCGCCCUCAGGCAGAGUGAAGCUGCUCUGCAAGUAGGAUGCUGUGAACUGAGAGAAGCCAAGGAUGAGAAAUAAAGUUAGGUACCUCCAGUGUAAACUAAGGAAGUGAAUCACACGAGAGGUAAGAAGCUGCACUGUGUGGGAGCCAGGUUUUCCAUCAGGAGCACUUCUGUCCUCGUCAUUCUCUGUCUCAGCCUGGCCAGUAAAGCACAGGUCACUGAGCUGAUACCUGUGCCUCCAGCGGAUGGCAAUCAGUCAGUUACUUUCCUGCAUGCUAUACAAGACAGAAUUUAGGGAUACUUGAAGUCAGCUCUCCUUUAUGACUGCCUGAGAACCCCAUACUUGAUUAUCCCAAGCCACAGACAGCCUGUUAGCUCUGUCACUUCCGCACGUCUGAGUGAGCUGAGGCUGUGGAACAUUGCCUACCAGCAGGAAGCGAGAAGUGAGAGAUAAUUCCCUACUUGGCUCUCUUGCUUUCCUGUCCUUUCUUUCACAGGACACAAGAGACACUGGAGAGCUUGAAAAUUACUGUCAAACAGACCAAAGUCCGUGAUGUGCCAUUUGAGCAGGUACUGUUAGCUAAUGCAGGCUGUCUUACUGCUCAGCAAGUGAAGGAUUCCUUGGCACUUUGCUUGGUAAACAGAGAAGAACAACAUACUUUCCAAGUGCUGCAGACCUGCAGCUCGGGGAGGAACACCAGCUCUGUGAGUUCAGCAGUUUGCAGGGAAGUAUCACCCAUAAUAUCACAUGCUGUAUUCUCCUAUUCUUUGUUUUGUGCUGUAUUUCUGCAUGGUCUAACAGCAUGGUGUGAGAUGGAAAAAGGGAGGUGAUGCAGAGCACAGCGAUAAAUAAAUGGUGUUUGCUCAGGGUCGUGCUUCCAAUGGCCUCUCCAUGGCCCUGCUCACCACGGUCACAGCUCUGCUCACCAUGUCAGGCUCAUGGCAAGCGCUGAGCAGUGGAAAAAGCAACGUGAAGACAAGGAGGGAGGAUUGUGUCAGUAAUUGCUCGGCUGUAAUUAUCUGCCAUUGUGUAUUCUGUUAGCUCUUUCUGUUUCUCAUUAGCAUAGAGCAGAGAAAAUAUUUAAUUGCAAUACUGUUCUGUAUAUGGCACUAUCUGCAAGCAGAGAAGACCAAAUCAGGCUGCCCUGUGGGGGUGAGGCACAGAUUAGCUUCUCUGGGGCAGCAGGGUACAGCUGAUGAAAAUCGAGAGGCAGAAUCCAAAUCACUGCUGCCCACCACAGUCUGCACUGGCAGAAGGGCAGCCCCAAGCAGGUGUUCUCUUCUUUCUGCUCAUCACUUGAUGGAGGCAGUCUCACUUCCUGGUCAAGAUCCCAAAGCACUUUGCAAUGACAGACUGAUUUUCCAAAGUACCCAAUUCAAGUUUUAGGCUAUCUGCCGGAUGCAGCUGACCACAGGUACUGCCAGUGGCUGCUGGAAACCUGUACUAGAAAUGGUUCAUCUUGCACUUUGGUGCCGGGGAUGUCAGAGAGCCUCAUGGCAGCAGUUUCUCCAUGGCUUGUGCCAUCAGGUGAGGAUUUGGGUUUCAAACGAUUGCUCUCUGCUCCCAGCCAACCUCUUCCCUGCAGCCGUGCCCUGACUGGGUCUGUGCUCUCCAUUAAUCUGAUCAAUGAGUGUGGUAAUACUGAUACGAUUACUCUGGCAUGUUAGCUUGAACACCUCAGCCAUCCCACAGGAGCCCUACAGCCUCCUGAUCACUGUGUGCUUCCCACAGCCUGCCUGCCGCCGACCUGAAACGCUGCUGUCAACACCAGACAGAGCAGCAGACUUAAUUAAAGGAUGGCAGCAUGCCAGCAUCCAAGAGUGCCAGCUCUGCUGCUUUUAAAGGGGCAUUUUUGAGAAAUGCUGGAAAAUAUCAGGGCAAGCCGUGCUGUGUCAGUGCCGGUGUGGGUCAGGCAUCAGUUCUGCCUCAGGUUUGGCCCACUGGAGGUGCUGGGCAGUCUCUGAUCCGGUGUGUGACACUGCUGAGUGUGCUCACAGGGACCCUUCCUGAGCGCUGCUUCUCCAUCCCAUCCCAAUGCAAAGCAGGGUUCCCCAUGUCUGCAGGCUGGGGCAGAGCAAUGGAACUGUGGGCUCUGUGUCCCUCCAGGUGUGACACAGGGGCUGCAGGGUCACUGUGCUGUGCUCAGAUGUGCUUUGGCAGACAGCUGAACACACAGAUCAUCUUCCCUGCCCAUUUCACCUGCACCAGCCCCAAGGCAGGCCUGCUAAAUUCUCUUUUUGGAGCGUCAAGUUUAUUCACUUCUGUGACAAAAUGAAAGGAAGCAUCCCAUUUUUAUGGCUAUCAGGAAUCUAAACAUCUCCUCCUCAGGGACCCCAGAUGGAUGGCAACCACCUGACCAGUGCCCUGCUCACACUGGCUCAUCCCAGCCCUGUAUUUAACAUGGCAGCUGCCUCCACAGCUCUGCCAGCAGCCAAUGUUACUGCACUCCUGAUGCCGGAGGAUCUCCAUGGAUGGAAGCUCACUGUCCCUCCUCAGAGCACAAAAGCAUUUUUGCAUCUGUGACGGAUGUGGCACAAAAGCGGGAGAGGGACAAACUGCAGCAGGAGAGGAAGGUGAAAUCCUUGGGCACCGUUUUGGAGCAUGCAGAUCCCCACAGCACACGUGCAGAUAACAAACAAUGCCCUGAUUAUGGGACUGCAUUUAGUAUUGUGCACCAAAUUGUGUGAACGCCUGUUGGAAGAAUAGAUACUCCAACAAAACAGAGGACCGGAGGAAAAAGAAAUCAGCUUUUGGUUUCUGAGUCAUAGCUGCGCUUUGCACUCAGGAUUCUGUCCACCGUGUGUCCAGAAUAAUUAUUAAGCAAGUUCUGAUGGAAGAAUUUUAUUUACUCAGCCUCUAAAAGGAAGAAAAGGAUCCUCAAUAGUUGAUUAGAUCAAAAAAGCAUGAUUUAUUUUUCAAUAAGUGCUUGAGAUGUAAGAUCAAUGGCUCGGGGUUGAUUGACGGGAGCUGUUUGCAAAGACCUUAGAUCUAAUUGUACUCAGGCAAUCACACAGACUUUCCUUUGACUAACACGAGACACCAUCCCUCUCGUACAGAUGGGGGAGGAACCCAGAAAAAAACAAGACUUUGCACUGGAAAGUUGCUCAGCAACUGCCCCGUAUUAUUUUUGAGUUGUCCCUGAACACAGCCUCCUUUCUCUUUGAUCUGUGUGUAAUUUUUGUUGCUGCUACAUCUCAGAAAAAGCAACGUUUUAAAAUAAUUGCAACUCCAUUUGCCACAAACGUUUUUUUUUUCUUUCUUUCUUUCCCAAGUGGAGGCAAAGCCCAACAGCAUGAGGGAAGGCAAUGCAUCUCACUGCAGAGGGAAAGAAGUUUGGGUCUGCCUCCUCUGCCAGAGCCUAUUGAGGUGUACUGGGCAGCCCGGGCUCCCACACUGACCUGACUUCUGUUUUUGUGCACGCUCCAUGCGUGACAUUCAGGUGCUCAGGAAUGAUGCUCAGCUUUUGCCACAGCUGUGUUUGGGGCUGGCCAGCACAGCGCUGGGCACUGCAAUACCAGCAUUCCUGCUUUGGAAGCAUUUGAUUCAGAAGUGGUGACAAAGUGAUUCAUGCAGUGAUAGGGCCAAGGCUCAGAUUUCUCACUCCGCUGAAAUUCCAAACCAAGAUUUGUGUAGGAGAUACUUCUUGGCAGUCCUCAUUUGGGAAGGCAUUGCAUCUCAGUGGCCGAUUACCACCAGCCCUGCUGCUGCCUCUUCCAAGACAACGGGCUUUCUGCAAAGCAAAGUGAUCCCCCCUCCAGCUGCCCGUUCCAGGGUUGUUCCAUGCUCUGGAUGACACAAACACCUUGCAGGGACCAGAAAAAGGUCUUCUGGGUUUUGUGGUGUCUCAGACCCUUUUCUUUCUCUCCUUUAUUUUCUGCAACGCACAAGCAGAGGUUUGUGCUGUGUUUGGGUCUCUUAUCACACACAGAAAAAGACCGGCAAGUAAAACAUUGAGUCCAAGCCAUCAAAAAACAGAGAAGAAAAUAAGCCAUGACUUUAAACACUGUUUGCAAAGGAGAGCCACGAGCACCUCUCUGCAGCACUGUACAACCGCUGUUGGUAAUGCUGACCGACACUGGAACAACUCAGUGAGAGUUUGCACAGCUCCU